rnacentral:rRNA from 1 species
AGCGAACGCUGGCGGCAGGCCUAACACAUGCAAGUCGAACGGAUCCUUCGGGAUUAGUGGCGGACGGGUGAGUAACACGUGGGAACGUGCCCUUUGGUUCGGAACAACUCAGGGAAACUUGAGCUAAUACCGGAUGUGCCCUUCGGGGGAAAGAUUUAUCGCCAUUGGAGCGGCCCGCGUCUGAUUAGCGAGUUGGUGAGGUAAAGGCUCACCAAGGCGACGAUCAGUAGCUGGUCUGAGAGGAUGAUCAGCCACAUUGGGACUGAGACACGGCCCAGACUACUACGGGGGGCAGCAGUGGGGAAUCUUGCGCAAUGGGCGAAAGCCUGACGCAGCCAUGCCGCGUGAAUGAUGAAGGUCUUAGGAUUGUAAAAUUCUUUCACCGGGGACGAUAAUGGCGGUACCCGGAGAAGAAGCCCCGGCUAACUUCGUGCCAGCCGCCGCCGUAACAC